UACGUAGGGUGCAAGCGUUAAUCGGAAUUACUGGGCGUAAAGCGUGCGCAGGCGGUUAUGUAAGACAGAUGUGAAAUCCCCGGGCUUAACCUGGGAACUGCAUUUGUGACUGGCAAGCUAGAGUAUGGCAGAGGGGGGUAGAAUUCCACGUGUAGCAGUGAAAUGCGUAGAGAUGUGGAGGAAUACCGAUGGCGAAGGCAGCCCCCUGGGCCAAUACUGACGCUCAUGCACGAAAGCGUGGGGAGCAAACAGG
rnacentral:rRNA from 1 species